rnacentral:rRNA from 1 species
AGUGAACGCUGGCGGUAGGCCUAACACAUGCAAGUCGAACGGCAGCACAGUAAGAGCUUGCUCUUACGGGUGGCGAGUGGCGGACGGGUGAGGAAUACAUCGGAAUCUACUUUUUCGUGGGGGAUAACGUAGGGAAACUGACGCUAAUACCGCAUACGACCUACGGGUGAAAGCAGGGGAUCUUCGGACCUUGCGCGAUUGAAUGAGCCGAUGUCGGAUUAGCUAGUUGGCGGGGUAAAGGCCCACCAAGGCGACGAUCCGUAGCUGGUCUGAGAGGAUGAUCGGCCACACUGGAACUGAGACACGGUCCAGACUCCUACGGGAGGCAGCAGUGGGGAAUCUUGCGCAAUGGGCGAAAGCCUGACCCAGCCACACCGCGUGGGUGAUGAAGGCCUUCGGGUCGUAAAGCCCUUUUAUUGGGAAAGAAAAGCUGCGGAUUUAUCCGCCGCUGUCCUGACGGUACCCAAACAAUAAGCCCCGGCUAACUUCGUG